rnacentral:rRNA from 1 species
GGGAAUAUUGGACAAUGGGGGGAACCCUGAUCCAGCGACGCCGCGUGAGUGAAGAAGGUUUUCGGAUUGUAAACUAUUGUCGUGAGGGAAGAAAUUGACAGUACCUCAGGAGGAAGCUCCGGCUAACUAUGUGCCAGCAGCCGCGGUAAUACAUAGGGAGCAAGCGUUAUCCGGAUUUAUUGGGUGUAAAGGGUGCGUAGACGGGAAAUUAAGUUAGUUGUGAAAUCCCUCGGCUUAACUGAGGAACUGCAACUAAAACUGAUUUUCUUGAGUACUGGAGAGGAAAGUGGAAUUCCUAGUGUAGCGGUGAAAUGCGUAGAUAUUAGGAGGAACACCAGUGGCGAAGGCGACUUUCUGGACAGUAACUGACGUUGAGGCACGAAAGUGUGGGGAGCAAACAGG